UACGGCCUGAGAGCGCAGCCGAGCGGGACGUCUCUCUUGUGCUUGAUUUCAUCUUUCCCCAAAAGAAAUCUAAACGUUCACUUACAGUGGCUCAUCUUGAUGCAUAAACAACCUUUGGCAGAGCCGCUGGUAUUACUUUCUUCACAGAAGUAGACCUUUUGUCUUGAAGCAAACUGUAAGUGUUAGCAAGUAAGGAGAGACAGACGGUUUACAGUGAGCUACACCCAACACCAGACAUUCUCCCAGAAGGAUUUUGGCUUCCUCAGAUACUGACACAAAUAUCAGCCCAAACUGAUGCCCUGAUCCAGGUCCAGGAAGAGACCCCCCAGGAGCAUGCCCAGACGUUAUUGGGAGUGUGUACAGGCACGUGGGGGACAUGCACAAAACUGAGUCACAAUAUGAGUUUCCGUGAUGAAAGUCACUUUUUUACUUUGAUGUUAUUUUGAAUCCAGCCCUCAAUCGGUUGAUAAUUUUGGUUUCCAUUGACAUGUUACAUCAUUUUGUUCUCAACAAAUUUUUACAAUGUACAGUAAAGAUUUUGAACUUUGAA